GUUAAUGUAGCUUAAUUUAAAGCAAAGCACUGAAAAUGCUUAGAUGGUUUAUAUGUUAAACCCAUAAACA
rnacentral:tRNA from 1 species